rfam:Gossypium hirsutum cultivar TM-1 unplaced genomic scaffold scaffold2046.1, whole genome shotgun sequence
UUAUAAAAAAAUUAUUCAUUUUUAUUGUUAAAAAUUAGUGUAGUUGACGGAAUAAUUAGACAAUUACACGUGGCAUGCCACCUGCACCAUAUACUAACGCACAUGAACUAGUUUUUAAUAAUAAAAAUGGAUGAAAUUGUUAACA